rnacentral:tRNA from 1 species
CGGGGAAUGGUGGAAUGGCAGACACGCUUGACUCAAAAUCAAGUACCGAAAGGUGUGAGGGUUCAAGUCCCUUUUCCCCGACCA